rnacentral:rRNA from 1 species
AUUGAACGCUGGCGGCAGGCCUAACACAUGCAAGUCGAACGGUAACAGGAAGCAGCUUGCUUCUUGCUGACGAGUGGCGGACGGGUGAGUAAUGUCUGGGAAACUGCCUGAUGGAGGGGGAUAACUACUGGAAACGGUAGCUAAUACCGCAUAACGUCGCAAGACCAAAGAGGGGGACCUUCGGGCCUCUUGCCAUCGGAUGUGCCCAGAUGGGAUUAGCUUGUGGUGGGGUAACGGCUCACCAGGCGACGAUCCCUAGCUGGUCUGAGAGGAUGACCAGCCACACUGGAACUGAGACACGGUCCAGACUCCUACGGGAGGCAGCAGUGGGGAAUAUUGCACAAUGGGCGCAAGCCUGAUGCAGCCAUGCCGCGUGUAUGAAGAAGGCCUUCGGGUUGUAAAGUACUUUCAGCGGGGAGGAAGGGAGUAAAGUUAAUACCUUUGCUCAUUGACGUUACCCGCAGAAGAAGCACCGGCUAACUCCGUGCCAGCAGCCGCGGUAAUACGGAGGGUGCAAGCGUUAAUCGGAAUUACUGGGCGUAAAGCGCACGCAGGCGGUUUGUUAAGUCAGAUGUGAAAUCCCCGGGCUCAACCUGGGAACUGCAUCUGAUACUGGCAAGCUUGAGUCUCGUAGAGGGGGGUAGAAUUCCAGGUGUAGCGGUGAAAU